UCCCUAUGGUUUUGGGUAAUUUGUAUGUUUGGUCCCUAACUUAUUUUUUUAACUUGGAAACUCCAUAUUGUUGGUUUUUGUUACGCGCUUGGUCAAUGUCUUACCUAAAAAAGCUAUUAUUUAAAUAGGGAAAAAUAAUGAGUUAGGUAAGGUAAGGUGAGUGAGGUGGGGUUGGGGGUGUGUUUAUUUAAAUAAAUUAAAAAAAUCAAGGACAAAAUAGUAUUUUUAGAUAAGACAGAGACCAAAUGCGUAACAAAAACAAACAGUAAGGACCUUUCGAGUUAAAAAAAUAAGUUAGGGACCAAAAAUACAAAUUACCCUAAACCAUAGGUACCAUUCGUGUAAGUUACUCAAAAAUAAAUGUACUCACUUAACUUUUUGGUAUAUAGUGAUUAGUGAAUUAUUUAAUCGGAUGGUAUAAGAGCUUUCAAUACAUCAUUGGUGGAACUUUGCGCUGAAAAUUACAAAAUCUCUGAUGCAAUGAAGUUCCCAACAACUAAAACUACAAAUAUCAGCACCCUUUAUUUGGUUGACCUCCAGGUAGGCGAUAGCUCUUUCCACUUCAAAGAAUUUAAUGCAAGACUCUUGUCUACAAAAGCAGAAUAAACUUCAUUAACACACACAUAAUUUAAAUGAACAAAUAUGCAUAUUAAAAAAAAAACAUCAGAUUAUUGUUCUUAUAUGAAAUAACAUAGUUUUUGUAAUCAUAUACAAACAACACAUUAAAUCCCUCAAAAACUUUUAUCGUCUAGAAUCCGAUUUUCCAACAGAAGAAAGCAUAAGCCUCAAUUCCUUCACAUGGUUACUCAUUCCAUUCAUAUUGUAAGCUUUAAUCAUAGUUCUAUACCUAAUCUUAUCAGGUUCACACCCUUUACUUUCCAUCAUCACCAACACCCCCCUUCAUUUCCGCUAAACAGUUAAAAAACAUAGUAUCAACCAUCACAUCCGAACUUUUAAUAUACCGUAAUAGCCCCCGAUCUUUUCCUCUUUGCCAUUUUGCGCAUAACCUCAUACACCUGCAUGAUUUGGCUUCAAAAACAAUACUAACUAUCAUCUUAUUAUAUAACUUUUGAUACCUCUUAAUAAACUUAUCAAAAGGAGGGCAAAUUUGGAAUUUUACAUGUUCCCACUCAUUGUCAUUGAUUAUAGCAAUCUACUUUAAAAUUACAUUGCUAUUUUACAAUACAAGUUAUUUAAAACAGUUUCUAUGUGAACAAGACAUAUGCUAUGAGCUAACCAUUGUGUAUAAUCAAUAAUAAGGUCCAAAUUUAAGACUCUAUAGUCUUGACAUAUCUCCUUAACAGAACUUGUGAUUACGAUAACCUCGCCUAAAUUAACAGAAAUUAUGUCAACCAUUCUAAUCAACAAAAACGAAUUAAUAAUUCUCUAAAAUUGUGAAUCUGUGAUGUUAAGUUGUUAACCAUUUCAAUCAAUAAAAACGCAGAGAACCAUAAUAUUAUUGAGUAUGAAUCAGAAUCUAAACACAUAGAACCUACAACUUUGAUAUCUAAACGAAUUAAUAAUAGAUUGAUGGCGUAUUAGCUUUUAUCAGAACAUAACAUACCUUCCUAAUCAACGACGAAGCUGUAAGCUGGAAGAGGAGCUGUUGCAGGUGGAGGCGGUGCUAUUGCAGGCGAAGGAGGAGCUGCUGUAGGCGGAGGCGGCGAACGGCGAGGUGUAUUCGGACUGUCGGAGGGUGCGUCUCAGACUUACGAGUUACAACAGUGAAUAUUGAAGAAUGAAGAUUGAAACAACGUGUGAGAAACAACCGUGUUUGCGUGUUGCGAUUAGGCUUCUUCAUUCACUCGUUUGGACGUUACUUU
rnacentral:lncRNA from 1 species